AUGGAGCAGUGUGGACCCGUGUCCUCAAGAUGCCUUCUCCCAGAGGGGCGCUCCUGGUCACGCUAGAACACACGUGUACGUGGUUUGCGUGUUCAGACAGUGGCGUCCCGCUCCCGUCCAGAGGUGGAGAACUUGCUGCUACAAUGAGCGAAGGGACCUGGUUCCCCGCGGGGAGUGGAGCCACGCUGCAGUUCUCCACAGCUUCUCGCAGGGGGUUUCUGGCUUCGUCUCCCCGGAAAUCAGUGUG